rnacentral:rRNA from 1 species
CAGUAGCCGCGGUAAUUCGUAGGUGGCAAGCGUUGUCCAGAAUUAUUGGGCGUAAAGCGCGCGCAGGUGGUCUAAUAAGUCUGAUGUGAAAGCCCACGGCUCAACCGUGGAGGGUCAUUGGAAACUGUUAAACUUGAGUGCAGGAGAGAAAAGUGGAAUUCCUAGUGUAGCGGUGAAAUGCGUAGAGAUUAGGAGGAACACCUGUGGCGAAGGCGGCUUUUUGGCCUGUAACUGACACUGAGGCGCGAAAGCGUGGGGAGCAAACAGGAUUAGAUACCCGCGUAGUCCCUGUCUCUUAUAU